rnacentral:rRNA from 1 species
CAGUUCGGACUGUAGGCUGCAACUCGCCUACACGAAGUUGGAAUUGCUAGUAAUCGUGGAUCAGCAUGCCACGGUGAAUACGUUCCCGGGUCUUGUACACACCGCCCGUCACACCAUGGGAGCUGGUAACACCCGAAGUCAGUAGUCUAACCGCAAGGAGGACGCUGCCGAAGGUGGGAUUAGCGACUGGGGUGAAGUCGUAACAAGGUAUC